GACACAACAUCUCCAUCAGAACAGCCUCAGAGUAAAACAACAAACUCUCCACCUGCAUCAUCCUCAACAACACUGGAAGUAGGAAAAGAAACUUCAACACAAUCAAGGAAAACAGACACAACACCUCCAUCAGAACAGCCUGAGAGUAAAACAACAACAAACUCUCCACCUGCAUCAUCCUCAAUAACACUGGAACAAGAUAAACGACAAACUCACAGCAGCCUCCCUCUAGUUUUCGGCAUCAUGGCGGUUUUACUGUUGGUGAUAGCUGGUGUAGUGGCAUUUAUUUGUUGGAGACGCAGAGGUACAACACACACACACACACACACACACACAGAUUUUGAGACUGAUUAACUAGGUACAAUUUGUUUUUUUGUACUAGUUUUUGUUUAUUUAUUUGGUCUGUUUUGUUUGUUUGUUUAUUUUUUACAAUUUCUCCAUUUUUUUCUACUGGG